rnacentral:rRNA from 1 species
GGAAUAUUGCACAAUGGGGGAAACCCUGAUGCAGCCAUGCCGCGUGUGUGAAGAAGGCCUUCGGGUUGUAAAGCACUUUCAGUAGGGAGGAAGGCUUACCGCUAAUAACGGUGAGUACUUUACGUUACCUACAGAAGAAGCACCGGCUAAUUUCGUGCCAGCAGCCGCGGUAAUACGAAAGGUGCGAGCGUUAAUCGGAAUUACUGGGCGUAAAGCGCGCGUAGGCGGUUUGUUAAGUCAGAUGUGAAAGCCCCGGGCUCAACCUGGGAAUUGCAUUUGAAACUGGCAGGCUAGAGUGCAGUAGAGGGAGGUGGAAUUUCCGGUGUAGCGGUGAAAUGCGUAGAGAUCGGAAGGAACACCAGUGGCGAAGGCGGCCUCCUGGACUGACACUGACGCUGAGGUGCGAAAGCGUGGGGAGC